AGAGAGAGAGAGAGAGAGCGUGCGAGAGAGUGUUGCUCCUGAACCACGUACCAUUCAACCAUGCCCGUCUUUAAGACCCCCUUCAAUGGCUACUCCGUCAAGUUCAGCCCCUUCUACGAAUCCCGCAUCGCCGUCGCCACCGCCCAAAAUUUCGGAAUCCUCGGCAAUGGUCGCCUCCACGUCCUCGAUCUCAAUCCCGCCGGUCCCAUAUCCGAGCACAUCGCCUUCGACACAGCCGACGGAGUCUACGACGUCUCAUGGUCCGAAUCUCACGACUCCCUUCUCGUCGCCGCCAUCGCCGAUGGCUCCGUCAAGCUCUACGACCUCGCUCUUCCUCCCACAUCGAAUCCUAUUCGAUCCUUCCACGAGCAUACGCGCGAGGUUCACUCUGCUGACUACAACCCCGUUCGUCGCGACUCCUUUUUGACUUCCU
rnacentral:misc_RNA from 1 species